AGUGAACGCUGGCGGUAGGCCUAACACAUGCAAGUCGAACGGCAGCACAGUAAGAGCUUGCUCUUACGGGUGGCGAGUGGCGGACGGGUGGGGAAUACAUCGGAAUCUACUUUUUCGUGGGGGAUAACGUAGGGAAACUUACGCUAAUACCGCAUACGACCUACGGGUGAAAGCAGGGGAUCUUCGGACCUUGCGCGAUUGAAUGAGCCGAUGUCGGAUUAGCUAGUUGGCGGGGUAAAGGCCCACCAAGGCGACGAUCCGUAGCUGGUCUGAGAGGAUGAUCAGCCACACUGGAACUGAGACACGGUCCAGACUCCUACGGGAGGCAGCAGUGGGGAAUAUUGGACAAUGGGCGCAAGCCUGAUCCAGCCAUACCGCGUGGGUGAAGAAGGCCUUCGGGUUGUAAAGCCCUUUUGUUGGGAAAGAAAAGCAGCAGGUUAAUACCCCGCUGUUCUGACGGUACCCAAAGAAUAAGCACCGGCGAACUUCGU
rnacentral:rRNA from 1 species